rnacentral:rRNA from 1 species
UACGUAGGGGGCAAGCGUUGUUCGGAUUCAUUGGGCGUAAAGGGUGCGUAGGCGGCGCGGUAAGUCGGGUGUGAAAUCUCGGAGCUUAACUCCGAAACUGCAUUCGAUACUGCCGUGCUUGAGGACUGGAGAGGAGACUGGAAUUUACGGUGUAGCGGUGAAAUGCGUAGAUAUCGUAAGGAAGGCCAGUGGCGAAGGCGGGUCUCUGGACAGUUCCUGACGCUGAGGCACGAAGGUCAGGGGAGCAAACGGG